GACGAACGCUGGCGGCGUGCUUAACACAUGCAAGUCGAACGGAAAGGCCCUGCUUGCAGGGUGCUCGAGUGGCGAACGGGUGAGUAACACGUGGGUGAUCUGCCCCUUACUUUGGGAUAAGCCUGGGAAACUGGGUCUAAUACUGGAUAGGACCAUGCUGUAGGGGGUGUGGUGGAAAGAUUAGUUUCGGUAAGGGAUGAGCUCGCGGCCUAUCAGCUUGUUGGUGGGGUAAUGGCCUACCAAGGCGUCGACGGGUAGCCGGCCUGAGAGGGUGGACGGCCACAUUGGGACUGAGAGACGGGCCAGACUCCUACGGGAGGCAGCAGUGGGGAAUAUUGCGCAAUGGGCGCAAGCCUGAUGCAGCGACGCCGCGUGGGCGAUGACGGCCUUCGGGUGGUAAACUCCUUUCAGCCAUGACGAAGCCCUUGUGGUGACGGUAGUUGUAGAAGAAGCACCGGCUAACUACGUG
rnacentral:rRNA from 1 species